CACAUUAGAAAUUUUUUGUUUAUCAUAUGAGUAUGAAUUCUCAAUAAUAAAUAUUUAUAUUAAAGUAUACUAUAUAUCUAUUUCCAUGUCAUUGAAAUUUAGUUAUAUACCAUAUAAAAUAAAUAAAUUGAUUGUUUUGAUUUAUUUACCAAAAAAAUACCAUAAAUAAACAAGAUGUAUUGUUUUGAUUUAUGUCUUUAUUCUAAUUAUAGACAUAAUACGUAAAUGAAUACAAAUAAAUAAUAAUAGAUAAAAAUUAGUUUUAUAUAUAACAUUCAUCCCGUGCAAUUGCGCGGGUCUUAAGCUAGUGAUUUGAUAUUGUUGAAGUUACUUUAACACUUUUGAAAAUUAAGAAAUCUAUACUAAUAAAGUUGACUUUAGUCUCUCCACGGUCAUCGACCUCAACAUCUAGCAUGGGGCAAUUAGUGACACGUGGAUUCUCCUAAUUUUAUAACUUGCUUUUUCUUAGUGAUAAAAGCCAUAUGAACCAAUUGUUGAGUUCGUCGAUGACAUGGACUCUUGGGUUUACAUGGACUCUGGUCAUUCGUGUGUAACGGCUACAAGACUUCAUUGUUUUAAACUAUUAAAUCAAGCAUUUACGUAGUUCAAACCACUCAUCCCACUUUCUUUUGCAUAUAAUCUGCAUCACCAUCGUCGAAGGUAACCGCUUGAAUCUCCUCCUAUAUAUUUGUAAGUUGAGUGCGAUGAACAUCCUCACCGCUACGCAACCAGAAAGGAUCACCUCUGUCAACGACAAACUGCAACAAUGGCGAUUAGCUUAUUAAUCAGAUUGAUGCGGAUCUUGCUCUCGCUCGCACGCUCCAAGAACAUGUAGCUCUUUUCCGGAUUUCUUCGUCUGUAGAUUAUCCAAUGCUGUUAAGGUCUUCUGAAUUCGAAGAAUAGUUUAUUUCUUCUCGCCUUUGAAUAUUUUGUGGAUUACUGAAUACUGUUGUUUUGUAGGUGUAGAUUUUGGAUUUCAGGAGCAGAGGAUGAUCCUACAGAAGAUGAGCCAUAUUUGAUGCCCAUGAAGACGAUCAAGAAUAUGAUGGUAGAAACGCUGACACCGAAGAAGUUACUUAUUCAGAUGAUGAAGCCUAUGCUAGAGCUCUCAGGGAGCUUAAGAAAGGGAAAUGACAGAUAGAUUGUCUGUCUUAUCUGGGUUAGCAGAUCGUGUUAAAGAUCCGGAGGAUGAGGAUCAUACUUCUCAGGUAGGUUCUUACACUACUAUUAAAGCAUUCUUGAUCUUAAGCUGGAAAUUUUUUCUAUGGUUGACACUACGAAGCUUUGCGAUAUAUGUAAAAAUAACUACUAUCCAACCCGUUUUUUGGUUAGUCAUGUGUAGCCAAAGUACAACGUUGUGACAUUAAACCUGCCAUUGUCUAAGUGAUACGUCAUACUUCAUUCUAUCUA